ensembl:snoRNA U3 Small nucleolar RNA U3
AAGACUAUACUUUCAGGGAUCAUUUCUAUAGUUAUUGACUUUGAAAUGCGUUUCGAAAGUGAUGUGUCUCGCUACCCACGAUGAUGAGCUGCGAUGUUCUUCUUUGAGCGUGAAUCGGAUAGAGAUUUUUGGAUUCUUCCAUGAGAUUUCUGUCAUUGAUGAACGUUCCUAGUGGUCUUUGAUCCUAGGAGGAGAGGAACAUGAUCAGAGUGGU